GAGUUUGAUCAUGGACUCAGGAUGAACGCUAGCUACAGGCUUAACACAUGCAAGUCGAGGGAAACGACAUCGAAAGCUUGCUUUUGAUGGGCGUCGACCGGCGCACGGGUGAGUAACGCGUAUCCAACCUGCCCACCACUUGGGGAUAACCUUGCGAAAGUAAGACUAAUACCCAAUGAUAUCUCUAGAAGACAUCUGAAAGAGAUUAAAGAUUUANCGGUGAUGGAUGGGGAUGCGUCUGAUUAGCUUGUUGGCGGGGUAACGGCCCACCAAGGCAACGAUCAGUAGGGGUUCUGAGAGGAAGGUCCCCCACAUUGGAACUGAGACACGGUCCAAACUCAUACGGGAGGCAGCA
rnacentral:rRNA from 1 species